UACGACCUCAGAUCAGACGUGACAACC
rnacentral:rRNA from 2 species